AGAGUUUGAUCAUGGCUCAGAAUCAACGCUGGCGGCGUGCCUAACACAUGCAAGUCGAGCGAGAAAGUGGUAGCAAUACCAUGAGUACAGCGGCGCACGGGUGAGUAACACGUGACUAACCUACCCUCGAGUGGGGAAUAACUUCGGGAAACCGAGGCUAAUACCGCAUAAUACCCACGGGUCAAAGAAGCAAUUCGCUUGAGGAGGGGGUCGCGGCCGAUUAGUUAGUUGGCGGGGUAAUGGCCCACCAAGACGAUGAUCGGUAUCCGGCCUGAGAGGGCGCACGGACACACUGGAACUGAAACACGGUCCAGACUCCUACGGGAGGCAGCAGUGGGGAAUUUUGCGCAAUGGGGGAAACCCUGACGCAGCAACGCCGCGUGGAGGAUGAAGUCCUUCGGGACGUAAACUCCUUUCGAUCGGGACGAUUAUGACGGUACCGGAAGAAGAAGCCCCGGCUAACUUCGUGCCAGCAGCCGCGGUAAUACGAGGGGGGCGAGCGUUGUUCGGAAUUAUUGGGCGUAAAGGGUGCGUAGGCGGUUUGGUAAGUCUCGUGUGAAAUCUCUGGGCUCAACUCAGAGUCUGCACGAGAAACUGCCGGGCUUGAGUGUGGGAGAGGUGAGUGGAAUUUCCGGUGUAGCGGUGAAAUGCGUAGAUAUCGGAAGGAACACCUGUGGCGAAAGCGGCUCACUGGACCACAACUGACGCUGAUGCACGAAAGCUAGGGGAGCAAACAGGAUUAGAUACCCUAGUAGUCC
rnacentral:rRNA from 1 species